GACGAACGCUGGCGGCGUGCUUAAAAACAUGCAAGUCGAACGGACUUCUCAUGAAGCUUGCGAUUGAGAAGUUAGUGGCGGACGGGUGAGUAACGCGUGGGCAACCUGCCCCUGAGCCCGGGAUAACAGUUCGAAAGGACUGCUAAGACCGGAUAUACUUGCGGUGAAGCAUUUCACUGCAAGGAAAGGGAACGCUCAGGGAUGGGCCCGCGUCCCAUUAGCUAGUUGGUGAGGUAACGGCCCACCAAGGCGACGAUGGGUAGCCGGCCUGAGAGGGUGAACGGCCACACUGGGACUGAGACACGGCCCAGACUCCUACGGGAGCAGCAGUUGGGAAUCUUCGGCAAUGGGCGCAAGCCUGACCGAGCAACGCCGCGUGAGUGAUGAAGGUUUUCGGAUUGUAAAGCUCUGUCUUCCGGGACGAUAAUGACGGUACCGGAGGAGGAAGCCACGGCUAACUACGUG
rnacentral:rRNA from 1 species